UGCCAUGCUGAUGAGACACAGAAGAGAAGC
rnacentral:piRNA from 1 species